UAAUGACGCUGGGAAAACGAGCGGCGGAUGGGUGAGUAACACGUGGGGAACCUGCCCCUAAGUCUGGGAUACCAUUUGGAAACAGGUGCUAAUACCGGAUAAUAAAGCAGAUCGCAUGAUCAGCUUUUUGAAAAGGCGGCGUAAGCUGUCGCUAAGGGGAUGGCCCCGCGGUGCAUUAGCUAGUUGGUAAGGUAACGGCUUACCAAGGCGACGAUGCAUAGCCGAGUUGAGAGACUGAUCGGCCACAAUGGAACUGAGACACGGUCCAUACUCC
rnacentral:rRNA from 1 species